rnacentral:rRNA from 1 species
UACAGAGGUCCCGAGCGUUGUUCGGAUUCACUGGGCGUAAAGGGUGCGUAGGUGGUUUGUUAAGUCAGGGGUGAAAUCCCGCGGCCCAACCGUGGAACUGCCUUUGAUACUGGCGAACUUGAGUGCGUGAGGGGUAGGGGGAACGAGCAGUGUAGCGGUGAAAUGCGUAGAUAUUGCUCGGAAGGCCAGAGCCGAAGGGGCCCUACUGGUGCGCAACUGACACUGAGGCACGAAAGCUAGGGGAGCAAACGGG